AUUGAACGCUGGCGGCAGGCCUAACACAUGCAAGUCGAACGGGUGGCGGACGGGUGAGCAAUGUCUGGGAAACGGCCCGAUGGAUGGGGUUAACUAAUGGAAACGGUUACUAAUACCGCAAACCUUCGGCUGUGCCCUGGUGGGAUUAGCUAGUAGGUGGGGUAACGGCUCACCAAGGCGCAGAUCCCUAGCUGGUCUGAGAGGAUGACCAGCCACACUGGAACUGAGACACGGUCCAGACUCCUACGGGAGGCAGCAGUGGGGAAUAUUGCACAAUGGGCGAAAGCCUGAUGCAGCCAUGCCGCGUGUGUGAAGAAGGCCUUCGGGUUGUAAAGGACUUUCAGCGGGGAGGCGUUACUCACAGAGGAAGCACCGGCUAACUACGUGCCAGCAGCCGCGGUAAUAC
rnacentral:rRNA from 1 species